rnacentral:rRNA from 2 species
GUUUAAUUCGAAGAUACGCGAAGAACCUUACCUGGGCUUGAUAUCCUAAGAACCUUUUAGAGAUAAGAGGGUGCUAGCUUGCUAGAACUUAGAGACAGGUGCUGCACGGCUGUCGUCAGCUCGUGUCGUGAGAUGUUGGGUUAAGUCCCGCAACGAGCGCAACCCACGUAUUUAGUUGCUAACGGUUCGGCCGAGCACUCUAAAUAGACUGCCUUCGUAAGGAGGAGGAAGGUGUGGACGACGUCAAGUCAUCAUGGCCCUUAUGCCCAGGGCGACACACGUGCUACAAUGGCAUAUACAAUGAGACGCAAUACCGCGAGGUGGAGCAAAUCUAUAAAAUAUGUCCCAGUUCGGAUUGUUCUCUGCAACUCGAGAGCAUGAAGCCGGAAUCGCUAGUAAUCGUAGAUCAGCCAUGCUACGGUGAAUACGUUCCCGGGUCUUGUACUCACCGCCCGUCACACCAUGGGAGUUGAUUUCACUCGAAGCCGGAAUACUAAACUAGUUACCGUCCACAGUGGAAUCAGCGACUGGGGUGAAGUCGUAACAAGGUAACCGUAGGAGAACCUGCGGUUGGAUCACCUCCUUUCUA